rnacentral:lncRNA from 1 species
AAGAUUGUAAAUAAAAUGUAUAUUUCAUUUCAAUAGCAUAUCACAUCAAAUACAAUACAUCAUCCACCGACUCCACGCAUUAAGGUUCAACGCCUAACACGGGCACAUCAAAAUAAUUUUACAUGUGCACAAUAAAAUACUUCUGCAAAAACACCUGCAAGGUUCUAGUAUACAAGGUUCAAAGCAUUAAGGUUCAUCAUCUUCCUCUACACAAUAUGCUCUUGCCAUUGCCUCCUGCAAGAAGAAAACGAUGGUAAGGCUUUCAGACCAAGGAAACUAGUAAAAUUGCACACACGAUAACCAAUGAUAAAACAGUAGAAAAUUGUUGCUGCAUAUACUUUGCUGCUUUGCUGAUAAAACAGUAGAAAAUGGUACGGUGUGGGUUAGUUUCAACAAACUGCUACUUUCUUGCAUUCCAAACAAGUCGAGACAUGCUAGCGUGACAGCUGCUGCAUAUACUUUGUAUUCUUCGGACUAGAGUAUAUAGAUUGUAGUAUACAUGUUGCAAAGUAAUAUGUAUUAUUGUAUGAAACAAAAAAUAUAAUGUUGCAUAUUACUGAAAAAUAGUAUCCUUGUGAAUUGUGAGUGUGAAUAUGUAUAAUUAUUACUGUUGUACGUGUAUAUAUAUAUAUCGAUGGCGUGACGCUACUUGUUUACACUAUAAUAUAGCUACGUGGACGCAUGUAUGAUGUACUUAGUAUGUACUCCCUCCGUUUCAAAAUAUAUGACCUUUUAGGGAUUCUACUAGGAGACUACAUACGGAGCAAAAUGAAUGAAUCUAUACUUUAAAUUAUGUCUAUGUACAUCCGUAUGUAGUUUAUAGUGCAAUCUCUAAAGGUCUUAUAUUUAGGAACGGAGGGAGUAGUAUGUAGGGGUUUUCGCAAAACAAAAGCAGUAUGAGGUAUCUGAAAAAGAAGUAUGGAGUAUGUCCAAAUUAGUAGUAUACCAAAACAGUACGAGUUUUGCAGCCUAAUUAUAAUUUUUUCUCAUGUACAUAUUUCUUUAGUAUAAUAACUAAAUGUAUGUUGGAACACCAACUAUUUCUUGUAUUAGAUAUAGCACCAAAUCUAUUUCAUGGUAUUAAAAUUGUGCAAUGCUUCAGCCCCAUCUAACCAAUAUAUCUAGUAGUCUCCGUACUCAAUUUAGAAUAUAUUUGAUACGGAGUCGUCAAAUGUACUCUCUGCUGCACAAUCCUUUUAUUCAAGUAAUCUCUUUGGUAGAAUAACUAAAUGUAUGUUGGAACACCAACUAUUUCUUCUAUUAGAUAUAGCACCAAAUCUUUUUCAUAGAUUUUACUAUUUUUUGAAAUAAUGUGAUAUCCACGGCAUGGAAUGAAAGCCAGUCUUAUGUCAAGUGGACGUAAGAAUUUCUAGUUCGUGUGUAUCAUGUAUAACUCUAAUUAAGUAUACCUGAACCUUCCAAAGGCGAACUUUUAUAUUAUAUUGGCAAACUUUAUAUUCUAUUUUUGUUAAACUCCUGUAAGAUAAUGCACCCAGUUAAUCAGUCCACGAAGGUUAUUCAGAGAAACAUAGGUAGUAAUAUCAUCGAUAUAGGGGACAUAUCCUUUAGUUACAUGGUGAUAUUAUAUGCAUAGGUGCAACAUGCAAUUGAUAGAGAUAUUAAUCGAUCUAGAUAUCUAGGAAGAUAUACUUAAGCACUCAUCAACAAAUGAUUCUAAUAUUCGAUCCUACUUAAAAAAAGAGUUAUAUGUACAUGUAUUGAUCAAGUAGAAGUAAAUACUAACAAAUUCGUGCAGAAAUUUACUUUGGCCAACGCAAAUCUGACUCAACUUGAUACAUACAACUAAAUCAAACCUUUGUCUCUUAAGUAAUCAUUGAUCCCAAUGCAACGAUCACACCUCCACUUCAAUUGUCCUGCACCGGCAUUUUUCUCACCCACCUUACUUGACAUUAACUGUACCUGCAAGGCGACAACUACAUUAGCUUUCUCCUUGAGCCGUUCACAAUGGUGUUCCACUGAUUAUUCAAGAGG